UGCUUAAACAAACUGAGUUAUAACAAUUCCGAGAGAUAAGGUUUUGCUUCUCACUAAGAGAGUUAUAAAUUAACUGAAAUGGUAGCUCUGAUGGUAACAAAGGUAUGGGCACAGCUGUGGUGGCCAUUGGGCUUUUUCCACUGUCUACUCAUUGUAGCAGAUGGAAAAAGCUUACCAUACAGUCCUUACCAUCUGAAUCUUCAUACUAAUAACCAAGACAUUUCUAAGGAAUUAACCACAGAGAUAAUUCCUUGUUUAAAUUUUGGGUUUCUUCUGACUCCACUGAAUUUAAUUCCUGACCAAAAAAAAAAAAAAAACUAACAAGAUGAAUAAGAAAUAUUUCUCUAGAAUGAAGAAUUUAAUUGUAAGUUCCGAAACUAAGACACAAAUCCUGCUUCUUUUUUUUUUCAAGAUUUUUUUUGUUUUUUAGAACAUCUGCAGUCAAAAGCUAGCCUUUAAAAACAGUCUUAGGGUUUUGUUUUUAAUAGACAAGUAUGACGAGAAUUUUGGUUCAUGUUCCCAGUGCAAUAUUACUUUAAACUAAGGAGGAGUCAGACACAGCAUGACAAGCUGCAGCAGUAAAACGCAUGUGGUCAACCAGCACUGAAACCAAGACCACGGCCAGCUGACAUGGCCGAGCCCAGAAAGGUGCCAGAAGAGCUGUGCAACUGCGCCGGGACACACCAGAGAACUGGUUUCCCAGGACUGACAAGGGAAUGGCCAUGUGAAGGCCAGCUAAUGAAGAAGGAGCCCAGAUAAUUAAUAUUGCCCUUUGUUCCCACCCAACUUAAAACUGACAACAACUUGCAAACAACCAAAACAUCACAACCACUCCAAGCCCCAAAGGCAGCAUUAAUUGCUUGAAAUAUAUUCAGUUUGUUAUUAUAUUACAAAAUUCACCAGUGUGUUUAUUAGAGAAAAAGAAACUUAAGCAUUUCUGAAAAUAGCAUGAUUGUAUUUUUUAACCUCCUCUCACAUAAGCACCUUUCAUGAAGCAGUGGUUGCCAAGCAGCUUAAAUCCUGUUCUCUAACAGGAAACAAUUGUAUUUUAAUUACUUCAAAACUACCUCAAUCUACAGGAAACAUAAGGAAACCCUGCUAAUCUGUAUAGUUAAGAGUUUAAACAGAACAUGAUUAGCAGAAGGGUUGGCUCCAAUCUUCCUGCCCUGAAGACUGCAGAACAACCAGCUCAUUCCCAAUCCACACUUCACUCCCUGCUCAACCCCAGAACUGCUGCAGUCUGCAUCCAAGAAUCACCUGCACUUCCAGAACUCACUGUGUCAGGCAACUGCUAGAACUGGGUUAUUAAAAAACCCCACAUCCCUGCCCCCACUAACCUACCCUGACUUAUUUUUUAAAUGACACAUCCUCCAUUCAGCUUCUUUUCACUUCUUGUCCCAAUAUUUACAAUUUAGAAAAUUAAUUUUUUCCGGCUGCUUUCUACUGGUGUUCAAAUUUAAAAAGCAAGGAGGGGUUUAUGUGACUUACGGGGCCCAGAACCACAUUGCCUAUUGAAAGCUCGUUUGCAUUUAAGUGGGAGUAUUACACAAAUAAAAGGGAUAGGCUGCCUGUCAGGAGGGCUAAGAUGAAAUACAUGCCUCUAAUUCAUGAGUGCCAGGGUCUAUUGAACAAACUGAACUUGUCUGUGAAUGUAGCAGCACCCUGAAUAAUCAAAUCCCACUUCACUUCAUGUAUGGAAAAUGCCUCAAGAACUAUUUUGUUACUACUUGAAGUGUGAAAUUUCUCCUUAAAAGAACAAGCUCCAGCCCAGAAACAUCUCUGUGCAGCAGACCAAUGCUGCCUGUCACAAGUAUCACAGAGAUCAUCAGGGCUGUUCCUGCAGACACAGUAAAUAGCUGGGCUGCUUGGCUCAAGUGUGGGAUGUGGGAACACUGCAUUUCAAAUAGCCGUGUUGUACUUCCACAUGUUUUCUGAUGCUCACUGCGCGGGAACUGGGAAAGUGGUCUGAAAAAGGCUCAGAAACACAAUUAUGACCAUCUCAUUUUUUUAAAAAGCUUUAAGGCAUUUUAAAGUAAUAGUUGCAAAAUGCACAGCUAACACAGCAUAUGGAAGGGAGGGCUGUGAUAAAAAAAGACAUUUGAUCUGCACUCAGUGCUAUGGUGAGUAAAGAAACUCUGAUCAAACUAAUGCUACAAAGAUGUCUGCAGUAGACAGUGAAUGAGUUUAGUACCUGUCUUCAGAUGUCUCUCAAGAUGGACCUUUUUCUUUUUAUAGCUAUGUAAUACAAACCUUCAUGUAAUCUUUAUUUGUCACUAAGUACAUCUUUAUGCUACUGAACACACCGCUUCCAAUAGCGAGUAAACAGCUAAAACCAGAAGUUAUUUGUAGUAUGCUCCAAGUCCUCUACCUAGAAGGAUACACGAAGGACAGAGCUUGCUCCCGACAGGAGCACGAGCUGCUCAUGACACCCGCACACUUCCCUGUACUUCCAGCUCCGAGCCUCCCUGGAAGGAGGACAGACAGCUUUGCAGGGGUGUUUUGGUGCUGUCCUGGGUGAACACCAAUACGCUGCCUCCACUGCCCAGCCACACUCCAGAACAGCCUUGCCAACCCUCCCAGAGCCCAGGGGUUUAGCUCCUUUGAUCUAUUUUAAAACACAUCAUGAGGACAGACUGAAGUGUGACAAUCAAACUGCAUUAAACCCAGACAAAUGGAAGCACCAGUGACUAGCCUUUCGGCUGAAGGUUUUCUUCUGACAGGAGCAUGGGAGACCUAAAUGCCCUUUCCAAGGCUGUCAGGCUUGGGAAGAAAUCCAAAACCUUAGACUGGCCACACUCCAAAUAUGUGAGCUUAUGGUUUUGCCAUGUACAAACAGGUUCCUGAAGGGACAAGCAAGAUGAAAAUACUCAGCAGGAACUUUAUUUCAGUCUCAACAGCACAGAAAGUCCCUGCUUGUACCAGUAAACAACUGCCACCUUCCAAUAACGAGAUUAGCAACAAGCCAUUUCAGCGCCUGCUCCCGGUGCAGAGAGAACAAUGACGGCCAAGUACCGUCAGACUCUUCCUUCGCCAGCGGCUCAGCCCCAGCAGAGCAGAGCAGGGCUCCGGGGCCAGCACAGCCCACCCUGGCCUCGCCGUGGUGCUGCCAGGCCUGCACCAGGGCGGGAGAACUGGAGCAACGGGACAGCUUUUUUCUGAAGAGAGCUGAGGAGCAAGAGGGGUUCCAGUUGGAGGAACAGGCACCACCCCUCCCUGCCAAAGCAGCAGUGCCCUCUGCCCUUGGACAUAUCGCAUCACCUUCCACUUCUCAGGUGAUGUCAGCUUUUAUCAUUGUGACGGUUCAAAAUACAGAAGCUAUAAAAACAAGAA